rnacentral:lncRNA from 1 species
AUCACCCGGAAAUGAGUGGCUAUAUAACAUUCAUUCAUCUACAACUUCAACCAAACCAUCUCAGUCCUCGGUUAAGCCGGUUCUAUAUCCUCCUAGUCCGCUGCCAUCAUUUAAAACGUCAUUCACGGCCCAAAAACCAUCUCCAUCACCUAAAGGACUGACACCACCUAAAUCAACCACACCGUCUCCGAAACCCUCUUCCUCGUCUUCUAAGCCAUGUCCAUCCCUUAAGCCAACUCUAUCGGAACUAGGGAAAGGAACGUACAAAGCAGUCUAUCCAAAGGAUGCGUUACCGAUUUACAUGAUUCCGAAGGAUAUCGAGGAUUUAAUCAAGAGAGACAUUGUGCCUGAAGUUUUGGGAUUGACAUCACCUAAACCAACCACACCGUCUCCGAAACCCUCUUCAUCGUCUUUUAAGCCAAGUCCAUCCCUUAAGCCAACUCUAUCGGAACUAGGGAAAGGAAAGUACAAAACACUCAAUCCAGAGGAUACAUUACCGAUUAAGCCGGUUCUAUAUCCUCCUAGUCCGCUGCCAUCAUUUAAAACAUCAUUCACGGCCCAAAAACCAUCUCCAUCACCUAAAGGACUGACACCACCUAAAUCAACCACACCAUCUCUGAAACCCUCUUCAUCGUCUUGUAAGCCAAGUCCAUCCCUUAAGCCAACUCUAUCGGAACUAGGGAAAGGAAAGUACAAAACAGUCGAUCCAAAGGAUAUGUUACCGAUUUACAUGAUUCCGAAGGAUAUCGAGGAUUUAAUCAAGAGAGACACUGUGCCUGAAAUUUUGAAGAAGCCAUUGUCUGCCUCUUCAUAUCAGGAUUUCUUUGCAGCCCUUCUAUAUGCUGAGGAUUCCUAUAUUGAGGUAAUGAGAUAGGUUUGCCGUUAAUUAAGCAAUGAUUCAUGAAGUACAAAGUGAUGAAAACUUACAAUGGGCUUGAUCGGAUUUGAUUUGAAUUGUAUUUUACCGUUUUUACUAAAAAAAUGAGCAAAUUAUUUUGUGUAUGUUGAAUCAAAGAGCAAAUUGUUUUUUUCAGUUAAAAUCUGAUGGAAGAAUCAAACAGUUACACAUAGCGUGCCACAUGUACCUCAUGUUGAUUUAAAUUUUUAUCAGUAAAAAUGGAUUAAAUUUUUUGUAGAACCAAUUUGCUCUUUUGAUUUAACCCGGCUACUAAUACAAUGGCCUCCACGACACUUUUACUAGAAAUUCAUCUCUAUACCCCAAUUUUCAAAUAUGGGUAGACCCGGGUGUUGGAACGGAUAGUGCAAGAAAAACAAGAAGGGAGAAUGCUUUUGGCAAUGACUGUCAUCUAAUCUAAGAACAUUGUUCACUGACGUACUGGGCAAGUAAACUCAAAAAAAAAAAUGGAAACGCAGAACAUCAUAGCUAGAAACUAAUGAAUGCUUUUUUCCCCCCUCUGAAACAGAAAUGGAGCAGUUUUGCGUUGGAGAAUGUAUCCAUGGAGUUCCAUUCAGCAACAAUCUCUCAAAAGUCGGGAGAAAACAAGCAUUUGAAAGCAAGUAAAAAGAUGGAUGAUAAAAGUUUUGCAGUAUUUAAGGUGGAUUCUCUUUCUAAGGCACGACCAUUUCUUCUGUCAAGGGACUUCGUCUUUGCAAAACGUGUAGGCAAAGAAACCAAACCAUUUCAGGUUUCGACUCUUACUCUUUGCAUGAUCAUGCAUGUACCAUAAUAUCUAACAUGAUACCUUAUUUGAGCUUUUCAGCCAAGACUUUAUAGCAUGGUGCAUAUGAGCUCAACCUUAUUCCAAGAUUCCAUGUGUUUGGAGAAUCUUUGGAGGAUACUAUAUGCCCGGAUAUGCUUUCUAUAUUGAUAUUGAACAUUGGUACUUCAAGAAAAAUGUUGGAGUAACAUAGGGUUCAACAAACAAUGCAUUUAAGAAUUAAUUUUGCAGCUCCCUAGCUAGCUUGUCUAUCAAGUGAAUAAUUGGGGGUGAAUGUAUUUCAGAGAUCUCUCUAUUAUAGGAACUUUAUCAAAUUAGUCCUCUAUUAUUAAAUGGAUCAAUUUAAUCCCUUUACUAUUAAAAAGAAUCAAAUGAAACCAAAAAUCAAAUAGAGUUAACAUUUACUAUUUAACAGAGUUAAUAUUUUAAAAGUUUUGUAAAUGAAAUCUUUUAUUUGAAAUUGAACUGCAAUUGAAAAAAAUAAAAUUUCCAGACAUUUUUUAUACCGUAAAUGUUAACUCUGAUACAAUUUGGACAUAUUUUAUUCCUUUUAAUAUUAUAGGGACUAAAUUGAUCCAUUUAACACUAGAAGGAUUAAUUUGAUCCGUUCCCUAUAAUACAAUGACUAAUUUAGGGCAUCUUAGCAUUUUGCAUUUGUUGCAUAGUCUAGAUUAAUAAUAAUAUAUUUAUAUGGAUGAUUUCAUGGAACUAUUAACUCUAUACCCUGCUGAACAACAAGAAUAUCAUGUCAUUCAACUAAAUGUCUCAUGCAAAGUUCCGGGAAAUCCUCGUGAUUUGACCUAAGUCUGCAAAAUUCUUUGAUGAUGAUGUGCAAAGUUCAAAAUUCUCUUACCUCAAGUGUGUGAUGAUAUGUUUUUCAUUGAUUCCAUCAUGUAGUCGAAGUUCGAAGUGUGAAAGGUCUUAAAUCUUUUCUUUCUCCUUUGUUACAUUCUUGUGUUUUUGUUGCAGGGUGUUAUAUAUCGGGUUGUGA